rnacentral:rRNA from 1 species
CCUACGGGGGGCAGCAGUGAGGAAUAUUGGUCAAUGGGCGCGAGCCUGAACCAGCCAAGUCGCGUGAGGGAAGACGGUCCUAUGGAUUGUAAACCUCUUUUGUAGGGGAGCAAAAGACGCCACGCGUGGCGUUCCGAGAGUACCCGAAGAAAAAGCAUCGGCUAACUCCGUGCCAGCAGCCGCGGUAAUACGGAGGAUGCGAGUGUUAUCCGGAGUUAUUGGGUUUAAAGGGUGCGCAGGCGGAAGAUAGAGUCAGCGGUAAAAGUGAGAGGCUCAACCUCUUCGAGCCGUUGAAACUGGUUUUCUUGAGUGAGUUAGAAGUAUGCGGAAUGCGUGGUGUAGCGGUGAAAUGCAUAGAUAUCACGCAGAACUCCGAUUGCGAAGGCAGCAUACCGGCGCUCAACUGACGCUCAUGCACGAAAGUGUGGGUAUCGAACAGGAUUAGAUACCCUUGUAGUC